UUGUUGGUAAGGUAAAAGCUACCAAGGCUUCGAUCAGUAGCUGGUCUGAGAGGACGGCCAGCCACACUGGGACUGAGACACGGCCCAGACUCCUACGGGAGGCAGCAGUGGGGAAUUUUGGACAAUGGGGGCAACCCUGAUCCAGCCAUGCCGCGUGAGUGAAGAAGGCCUUCGGGUUGUAAAGCUCUUUCAGCCGGAACGAAACGGUUACGGUUAAUACCCGUGACUACUGACGGUACCGGAAGAAGAAGCACCGGCUAACUACGUGCCAGCAGCCGCGGUAAUACGUAGGGUGCGAGCGUUAAUCGGAAUUACUGGGCGUAAAGCGUGCGCAGGUGGUUUUGUAAGUCAGAUGUGAAAGCCCCGGGCUCAACCUGGGAACUGCGUUUGAAACUACAAGACUAGAGUGUGGCAGAGGGGGGUGGAAUUCCGCGUGUAGCAGUGAAAUGCGUAGAGAUGUGGAGGAACACCGAUGGCGAAGGCAGCCCCCUGGGUCAACACUGACGCUCAGGCACGAAAGCAUGGGGAGCAAACAGGAUUAGAUACCCUGGUAGUCCAUGCCCUAAACGAUGUCAACUAGUUGUCGGGCCUUUACGGGCUUGGUAACGUAGCUAACGCGUGAAGUUGACCGCCUGGGGAGUACGAUCGCAAGAUUAAAACUCAAAUGAAUUGACGGGGACCCGCACAAGCGGUGGAUUAUGUGGAUUAAUUCGAUGCAACGCGAAAAACCUUACCUACCCUUGACAUGUAUCGAAGCCCGCAGAAAAGCGGGGGUGCCCGAGAGGGAACGAUAACACAGGUGCUGCAUGGCUGUCGUCAGCUCGUGUCGUGAGAUGUUGGGUUAAGUCCCGCAACGAGCGCAACCCUUGUCAUUAAUUGCCAUCAUUUAGUUGGGCACUUUAAUGAGACUGCCGG
rnacentral:rRNA from 1 species